UUAGUCCCUAGUCUUAUCUUAUAGUUAGGAUAGCCUUAUGCCUAUCCCACGCAUGCUUAAACUCCUUUACUGUGUUAACCUCUACCACUUCAUCUGGAAGGCUAUUCCAUGCAUCCACUACCCUCUCAGUAAAGUAAUACUUCCUGAUAUUUGUAAACCUUUGUCCCUCUAAUUCAAAAUUAUGUCCUCUUGUUGUGGUAGUUUUUCCUUCUUUUAAAUAUAGUCUCCUCCUUUACUGUGUUGAUUC